rnacentral:rRNA from 1 species
CCAGACUCCUACGGGAGGCAGCAGUGGGGGAUAUUGCACAAUGGGGGGAACCCUGAUGCAGCGACGCCGCGUGAGCGAUGAAGUAUUUCGGUAUGUAAAGCUCUAUCAGCAGGGAAGAAAAUGACGGUACCUGACUAAGAAGCCCCGGCUAACUACGUGCCAGCAGCCGCGGUAAUACGUAGGGGGCAAGCGUUAUCCGGAUUUACUGGGUGUAAAGGGAGCGUAGACGGUCCUGCAAGCCAGAUGUGAAAGCCCGGGGCUCAACCCCGGGACUGCAUUUGAAACUGUCAGGCUGGAGUGCAGGAGAGGUAAGUGGAAUUCCUAGUGUAGCGGUGAAAUGCGUAGAUAUUAGGAGGAACACCAGUGGCGAAGGCGGCUUACUGGACUGUAACUGACGUUGAGGCUCGAAAGCGUGGGGAGCAAACAGGAUUAGAUACCCUAGUAAA